rnacentral:rRNA from 1 species
CCUACGGGAGGCAGCAGUGGGGAAUAUUGGGCAAUGGGCGCAAGCCUGACGCAGCGACGCCGCGUGAGGGAUGAAGGCCUUCGGAUUGUAAACCUCUGUCAGCAGGGAAGAACGGUCACUCUGCUAAUCAGCAGUGAAUUGACGGUAACUACAAAGGAAGAACCGCUUAACUCCGUGCCAGCAGCCGCGGUAAUGGGGAGGAUGCGAGUGUUGUUCGGAUUUACUGGGCGUAAAGGGCUUGUAGGCGGGAUGUCAAGUCAAGUGUGAAAUCUCCGGGCUCAACGUUGAAACUGCAUUUGAAACUGGCAACCUGGAGUGUGUGAGAGGAUAGCGGAAUUCCGGGUGUAGGAGUGAAAUGCGUAGAUAUCUGGAGGAACAUCAGUGGCGAAGGCGGCUUUCUG